rnacentral:misc_RNA from 1 species
UAAGCCAUACAAUAAUGGUAAAGCUGGUGUGACCUAAUGGUCAAUAAAGUGGGAGGAGAACCAUGAGGUCUCAAGUUCGAUUUUGGUUCCCAUCUACCUAAGUCUUGUGGAUUGAGUUACCCGAUACCUGCGCUGGUUGGAGAUAGCAGGUAUCCAGUGAAAUAGUCUUAGAUGCACAAGCUGCUCUGGUACACCUAUGCCAUAAAAAGAAAAGGAAAAGUGAAA